rnacentral:rRNA from 1 species
AGAUACCCGGGUAGUCCACGCCGUAAACGAUGUCUACUUGGAGGUUGUGGCCUUGAGCCGUGGCUUUCGGAGCUAACGCGUUAAGUAGACCGCCUGGGGAGUACGGUCGCAAGAUUAAAACUCAAAUGAAUUGACGGGGGCCCGCACAAGCGGUGGAGCAUGUGGUUUAAUUCGAUGAUACGCGAGGAACCUUACCAGGGCUUAAAUGUAAGUUGCAUAGACCAGAGAUGGUCUUUUCUUCGGACUAUUUACAAGGUGCUGCAUGGCCGUCGUCAG